UAGAAGAGUGGCGAAAUAGGUAGCCGCACCGGACUGCUAAUCCGGGGUCCCUCGGGGCCUGAGAGUUCAAGUCUCUCCUCUUCUGCCAA
rnacentral:tRNA from 1 species